rnacentral:lncRNA from 1 species
UAUUGUAAAGGUCAAAAUCAAAAAGGGAUGCAAUGGCACAGAGUAAGCAACUGAUAGAAAUGAGAGGAUACUGUUGCUAGGCAACCUACCUCGGAGAUGAGGGGUGGUUUGUUCCAUUUUAUUGAACCAUACUAUUGUGAAUAUUUUAUUAUUCUGUCAUUACAGACUUUUAAGCUGGAAGAUACUUCAGAGAUCAUCAAUUUCUGCUCUUUCAUUUUGUAGCUGGGGAAGUGGAGGCCCAGAGAGGGGAAGUCACUUGCCUACUGUCGCUGAAGUUAGUGAGGGUCAAAGCGGGGGCAAGAAUCCAAGUGUACCCCUUCUUCUGCUAUAUUCUCUAUUCCCCAAUUCCUCCUUCCAUUCCUGGGCUCUGCAGCAGAAGUCAGGGUGCAGGUUAUUCCAACAGAAGAUUAGCUCUGGCUCCUUCAUUCUGUAAGGGAGAUAGCUGCAGGGUUCUGGCACUCAGGCUACUGUGUGUGUGUGUAGAUCCACAUGUGCACACAUAUGCAAUAUUGGCUAAGAGUGGCUAAGGUUGGUGGCCAUUAGCUGCUCAGCCUCAUAGUGCCGAAGUAGAGGCAAUGACCAAUGACAGUGGGAGGGGAGGGGUGCAGAGGACAAGGUGUGGAGCUCCCUGGCCAGUAUUGGGGUGUCCCCUGGCAUGGACUCUGCAUCUAGUUAUGACAGGACCAAGCUGGCUUUCUCCUUGGCCUCCCUGUCACUUGCCCCUUCUCCUUGUACUCCACAGGGGUGGGCUAGCAUCUGCUGCUUUGUGUUUUUGUGGCUGUAGGCCCCUACCCUGUCACUGGAGUCUGGUGAUGCCCCUAACUGUCCCUCUCCCUGACUUCUGAUGGUCCAAAGCAAGAGUGGCAGCUCAGCCCCUCAGAAGGGAGAACAGGAGCUAACACUAGGUCCCCAGGAUGUAGGACCUACAUAGGUUCCCACCUGUCAUAAAAAUAGCUUGGUUUUUUUCCUGAUUUCUCUGUGCAUUUUGGGCUUUGAUAUCCCAGGCGUGGGGAGGGGGAGGGGUGGCAAGGCAGGCAAGAGGUGGGGAUGUGGCCAAAGGGAAAUAGCCAGAACAUCCCUCUUCCAAGCCCCUCCCUCUCCUUAUCCGGGGUGGCACCCAGUGCCCACCCUGCCCCAGGGGAAUAACAAGAACUGGGAUCAGCAGCAUAGGACUCUGAAGACGGUGGAGUUAUUCCCCUACUCGCCUUCUUUUUCACUCAUCAGAGCCUCCACAGCUAGAGUCAAUAACUGGCCUCUUAGAGAACUCCUUUUCCACCCCCAGCAGCCUCUUACCCCCUCACGCCAGCCUUCAAUAACAUCAUCCCAAGACCACAGCUGGGUAGGGAUAGAAGGUAGGAGGCCAAGGAUGGGACUGGGGAAGAUUCUAGAGGGAGGGAGAGAGGCAUCUGUUUAAAUUGUGUUUAUUAAUCAGGGGCUUGAGUGUGUCCCACUUUCAACCCCAGGGCCCUUGUGAUGAAGCAUUUAAAAUGUGGUUCCUUUCCAUCCUAAUACAUGUUGUACUCCCCUCCCCCUACUCACUAGCUCCAACUCCGCAUGCCCAUUAAGGCCUCUUUCUCUCAACCCCAUCCGCACCCAUCUCAAGCCCCAUUUAAACCCCUUUUCCUCAUCUUAGCCCAAGAAGAAGCUGAAAGCACCCUCUGACCCGGCCACACCCAAGAUCGUGCCUUUUGACCUUCUGCCUGAGACUGAGCCCUUUGACCUGAAGCCUGAGACAGUGCCUGAACUCCCACCCUUUGACCAGACGCCUAGGACACUACCCUAUUACCCAGAGCCUGUGCCUCUGCCCACCCCAGAGGAGCCAGCAGCCGGUGGGGGCACUUAGGGUCUCCGGGGUGAUGUGGGCAUGGGGGGGUCACUCCAGUCCACCAUCAGCUCACUGCUUAGCGGUGGUCAGUGUCCGGAUGGCAGGCCUCUUCCAAGCAUGGGUGGGUGGCGGGCAUUGUGAAAACGCUCUCGCAUUAUGCAGAGUUCAGGGGAAUGUGUUGUGUGCAAUGGGGUGGGAGGUGAAGGGACGGGGCCCUCCCCUACCUCUUGGUUUCUGUCUUAAUAGCAGACACUCCGAACACCAUCCUUGAGCUGCAUCCAGUGUUGCCCUGCAUGAAAUUGCAUGAAACUGUGCCAUGGCAUCUGAAUCUCCUUCCCACGUCCCUUCUGACUCCUCCUCUGGGACAGGCCAGCUUGGCUCAAAGCUUCUCUGGAGAGGGCCCUCAUGAGGCCCAGGCCUGGGGUCUGUUCUGUGCCCUGUCCACCCCCUCCCUGUAGCUGAGGAAAACAUUUACACUGAUUUUUUCCAUUUUUUUUAGAAAAUGUUUUGCAAAGGGAUCCCUUAUGUUUGCCAGAUCCUGCCUUGGGCGGGGCACCCAAAAGCUGCCAACUCCGAGAGGCCGGAUGGAGGGGCAUUUUAGCUGCCUCUGGCUUGGAUCCUUUGGCUUCCCUAUAGCACAAGAGUGUUUCCUCAACUUUUUCUUUCUUUCUUCUUCUUUUUUUUCCUCCCAUAACCAUCCUUCUAGGGAGUCUUUUUAGACGUUCUUUUCCCCCGGUCUCCUCCUCCACGAAAUCUUAAUACUACAGAUAUGCUACGUAUCUGUGUAUGCACCGGGACUCUGAGCACUACAAACUAUUGCACUAAAAUCCCCCCUCCCCUCAAUAAUCCAUUUCCACCCUCUUGGGGGCAAUAUUACCCCUGUUGAGAAUCCUGCUCUAACAGAAAGGACCCUUUGCCUUUGGUUUCUCUCACCCCUUGUCUCAGCAAUCUAAAGUAAUGAUCCAGAGUUUUUACAACUUUCCCUCUCUUCCACCUCUCCCCGAGUCUAGUACCCUCUUCUUAGUCUCUGAGCAGAUCCUAGGUCUCUGAAUUACCUCUCCAAAGUCGUCUUCUCUGGCCAUUCCCGGGCAGAAGUUGGGGACAGAGCUCUAAGCUAAGAAAGGCUCCUGGGGCGCUUGGCUGGCUCAGUCAGUAGAGGAUGUGACUCUUGAUUUUGGGGUUGUGAGUUCAAGCCCCAUGCUGGGUGUAAAGCUUACUUAAAAAAAAAAUUUUUUUUUAAGAAAGAAAGAAAAAAGAAAGGCUCCUACUUAUAUCCAUAUGACAUUGUCCCCUUUUCCCUGACAAAUGUGAAUGCCUGGAUCAGGCACAUAAUAGGUGCUCGAUUAAAUUAUAAUCAUAUUACAGUCUUCUUCCUAAGCCAGAGGAUCUUCAGUUUAUACAGCAGGGUUGGAGAGAGGAGUAGAAGGGGCGGGGAGCCUCCCUGGGGCUCCUGAAACUCACCCUGGACUGGUGCCUUCCUGGGUUGGAGAGCUAUGUGUGCUUGGUGGGGGGCAAAGGGAUCUAUGCAUGCUUUUGCUCAGACCUGGUCAUUAAAGGUAACUCUGGAA